AGUGAACGCUGGCGGUAGGCCUAACACAUGCAAGUCGAACGGCAGCACAGUAAGAGCUUGCUCUUACGGGUGGCGAGUGGCGGACGGGUGAGGAAUACAUCGGAAUCUACUUUUUCGUGGGGGCUAACGUAGGGAAACUUACGCUAAUACCGCAUACGAACUACGGGUGAAAGCAGGGGAUCUUCGGACCUUGCGCGAUUGAAUGAGCCGAUGUCGGAUUAGCUAGUUGGCGGGGUAAAGGCCCACCAAGGCGACGAUCCGUAGCUGGUCUGAGAGGAUGAUCAGCCACACUGGAACUGAGACACGGUCCAGACUCCUACGGGAGGCAGCAGUGGGGAAUAUUGGACAAUGGGCGCAAGCCUGAUCCAGCCAUACCGCGUGGGUGAAGAAGGCCUUCGGGUUGUAAAGCCCUUUUGUUGGGAAAGAAAAGCAGCAGGUUAAUACCCCGCUGUUCUGACGGUACCCAAAGAAUAAGCACCGGCUAACUUCGUG
rnacentral:rRNA from 1 species